rnacentral:rRNA from 1 species
GUCGUACGAGAGUUUUUAACUCAAGUGGCGGACGGGUGAGUAACACGUAAGAAUUUGCCUUUAGGAGGGGGACAACAACUGGAAACGGUUGCUAAUACCCCAUAUGCUUUCGAGUGAAAUGGAUUUUUCCGCCUAGAGAGAAGCUUGCGGCUGAUUAGCUUGUUGGUGAGGUAAUGGCUCACCAAGGCGACGAUCAGUAUCUGGUUUGAGAGGACGAUCAGACACACUGGAACUGAGACACGGUCCAGACUCCUACGGGAGGCAGCAGUGGGGAAUUUUCCGCAAUGGGCGAAAGCCUGACGGAGCAAUACCGCGUGAGGGAUGACGGCCUAUGAGUUAUAAACCUCUUUUUUCAGGGAGGAAUAAAAUGACGUGUACCUGAAGAAUAAGCAUCGGCUAACUCCGUGCCAGCAGCCGCGGUAAGACGGAGGAUGCAAGUGUUAUCCGGAAUCACUGGGCGUAAAGCGUCUGUAGGUGGUCCAAUAAGUCAACUGUUAAAUCUUGAGGCUCAACCUCAAAACCGCAGUCGAAACUAUUAGACUAGAGUAUAGUAGGGGUAAAGGGAAUUUCCAGUGGAGCGGUGAAAUGCGUAGAGAUUGGAAAGAACACCGAUGGCGAA